rnacentral:rRNA from 1 species
GACGGACGCUGGCGGCGUGCUUAACACAUGCAAGUCGAACGAAGAGCGAUGGAAGCUUGCUUCUAUCAAUCUUAGUGGCGAACGGGUGAGUAACGCGUAAUCAACCUGCCCUUCAGAGGGGGACAACAGUUGGAAACGACUGCUAAUACCGCAUACGAUCUAAACUCGGCAUCGAGGAUAGAUGAAAGGUGGCCUCUACAUGUAAGCUAUCACUGAAGGAGGGGAUUGCGUCUGAUUAGCUAGUUGGAGGGGUAACGGCCCACCAAGGCGAUGAUCAGUAGCCGGUCUGAGAGGAUGAACGGCCACAUUGGGACUGAGACACGGCCCAGACUCCUACGGGAGGCAGCAGUGGGGAAUCUUCCGCAAUGGACGAAAGUCUGACGGAGCAACGCCGCGUGAGUGAUGACGGCCUUCGGGUUGUAAAGCUCUGUUAAUCGGGACGAAAGGCCUUCUUGCGAAUAGUGAGAAGGAUUGACGGUACCGGAAUAGAAAGCCACGGCUAACUACGUG